UUUCGGUUGUCGAUGGGGAUGCGUUCCAUUAGGCAGUUGGCGGGGUAACGGCCCACCAAACCUACGAUGGAUAGGGGUUCUGAGAGGAAGGUCCCCCACAUUGGAACUGAGACACGGUCCAAACUCCUACGGGAGGCAGCAGUGAGGAAUAUUGGUCAAUGGACGAGAGUCUGAACCAGCCAAGUAGCGUGAAGGAUGACUGCCCUAUGGGUUGUAAACUUCUUUUAUACGGGAAUAAAGUGAGCCACGUGUGGCUUUUUGUAUGUACCGUAUGAAUAAGGAUCGGCUAACUCCGUGCCAGCAGCCGCGGUAAUACGGAGGAUUCGAGCGUUAUCCGGAUUUAUUGGGUUUAAAGGGAGCGUAGGCGGGUUGUUAAGUCAGUUGUGAAAGUUUGCGGCUCAACCGUAAAAUUGCAGUUGAUACUGGCGACCUUGAGUGCAACAGAGGUA
rnacentral:rRNA from 1 species